rnacentral:lncRNA from 1 species
CAACAAUCACAGAGAGACAGUCCACCACCUCUACCCUCUUAACUCUUCCUUAGAAAUCCUACUGUCUGCAGCUGGGAAUGAAUGGAAUGAAGGUCAAGGAUGAAGAUCUCACUCUGUUACCCAGGGUGGAGUGCAGGGGCAUGAACACGGAUCACUGCAGCUUCGACUUCCUGGCUCAAGCAAUCCUUCCACUUCCUGGCUCAAGCAAUCCUUCCACCUCAGCCUCCUAGGUACUGGGAUUACACGUACACGCCACCUCGCCCAGCUAGUUUUUGUAUUUUUUUGUAGAGAAGAGGUUUCACCAUGUUGGCCAGGCUGGUCUUGAACUCCCAGGCUCAAGCGAUCCACCCACCUCAGCCUCCCAAAGUUCUGGGCUUACAGGCGUGAGCCACCAAGUAAAGGGUCUUAAAG